rnacentral:snoRNA from 14 species
UCCGAUGAUGAUGGAUCAACCGGCUGAGUGGUGAUGAAGUCCGCAUCACCUGAGG